UCUGGUUGAUCCUGCCAGUAGUCAUAUGCUUGUCUCAAAGAUUAAGCCAUGCAUGUCUAAGUACAAACCUUAAUACGGUGAAACCGCGAAUGGCUCAUUAAAUCAGCUAUGGUUCCUUAGAUCGUCUCAUCCUACUCGGAUAACUGUGGAAAAUCUAGAGCUAAUACGUGCUUACAAGCCCUGACCUCACGGGAGGGGCGCAUUUAUUAGAUCAAAACCAAUCGGGGCUUGCCCCGUCUGCUUGGUGACUCUGGAUAACUUUUGUGCUGAUCGCAUGGCCUCUGCGCUGGCGACGUAUCUUUCAAGUGUCUGCCCUAUCAACUUACGAUGGUAGGUGAUAUGCCUACCAUGGUUAUAACGGGUAACGGGGAAUCAGGGUUCGAUUCCGGAGAGGGAGCCUGAGAAACGGCUACCACAUCUAAGGAAGGCAGCAGGCGCGCAAAUUACCCACUCCCGGCACGGGGAGGUAGUGACGAAAAAUAACGAUACGGGACUCUUUUGAGGCCCCGUAAUUGGAAUGAGUACACUUUAAAUCCGUUAACAAGUAUCUAUUGGAGGGCAAGUCUGGUGCCAGCAGCCGCGGUAAUUCCAGCUCCAAUAGCGUAUAUUAAUGUUGCUGCAGUUAAAAAGCUCGUAGUUGGAUCUGAGGACUCGAAUUGGUGGUGCACCAUACGGUGUUACUGCCGAUUCGGCCUACCUAGUCGGUGCUCGCUCUUGGUGUUCUUAAUUGAAUGCCCUGAGUGCCCGGCAAGUUUACUUUGAAAAAAUUAGAGUGCUCAAAGCAGGCCAUUAGCCGGAAUACUUCAGCAUGGAAUAAUGGAAUAGGACUUCGGUUCUAUUUUGUUGGUUUUCGGAACCCGAGGUAAUGAUUAAGAGAGACAGACGGGGGCAUUCGUACUGCGGUGUUAGAGGUGAAAUUCUUGGAUCGCCGCAAGACGAACAACUGCGAAAGCAUUUGCCAAGAAUGUUUUCAUUAAUCAAGAACGAAAGUCAGAGGUUCGAAGACGAUCAGAUACCGUCCUAGUUCUGACCAUAAACGAUGCCAACUGGCGAUCCGAGAUCGUUUGCUUAUUGACCUCUCGGGCAGCCUCCGGGAAACCAAAGUUUUUAGGUUCCGGGGGAAGUAUGGUUGCAAAGCUGGAACUGUUCAAUUGCAACUCUGCCUGUGACACCAAGUGGUCGGGUUACUUGGUCUGUUCUGGCCCGGAGUCGGUAGGGUUUCCGGCCUUGUGCUCUUUCCUUACUGUUCUCUGUAACGCCGAAGGCGGGGCUUCCACGGUGGGGAAGCGGUUGUACAAAUCCGGCAAAUCCAGCCAAAUGGGUUCCGGACUCUGUCCAACCUGCAACUGGUAACAGCCUCGGCUGGCUAACAUUUGAGCUGGGACUCGCUUGGGAGGAGCGAGGAUAAUAUAAACCUCUAUGUGACUGAGGUGAGGAAUCUGGUUCUCGUAAAAUGGCUGGAGAUCCCGAGCCUGUAAGUCAUAAAUUAGUUCCCCCACGAGGGGAGGUGUCGAAUUGAAGCCAGUGCGUGCCCUUACUAGUUUAAGGGAUUGUAUACUUCCUUUGGUGUACCCACCUGGAAGUGCCCAAGGGGUCCUAUCCCUGCACUCCAUCCCCGAUUGGAGUCAGGUGACGGCUCCUUA
rnacentral:rRNA from 1 species